GCCUUGGUAGCUCAGUCGGUUAGAGCGUUCGCCUCUUAAGCGAAAUGUCGUGGGUUCGAUUCCCACCCAAGGCA
rnacentral:tRNA from 1 species